CUCAAGAACGAACGCUGGCGGCAUGCCUAACACAUGCAAGUCGAACGAACCCUUCGGGGUUAGUGGCGCACGGAUGCGUAACACGUGGGAAUCUGCCCUUUGCUUCGGAAUAACAGUUAGAAAUGACUGCUAAUACCGGAUGAUGUCGUAAGACCAAAGAUUUAUCGGCAAAGGAUGAGCCCGCGUAGGAUUAGGUAGUUGGUGGGGUAAAGGCCUACCAAGCCGACGAUCCUUAGCUGGUCUGAGAGGAUGAUCAGCCACACUGGGACUGAGACACGGCCCAGACUCCUACGGGAGGCAGCAGUGGGGAAUAUUGGACAAUGGGCGAAAGCCUGAUCCAGCAAUGCCGCGUGAGUGAUGAAGGCCUUCGGGUUGUAAAGCUCUUUUACCAGGGAUGAUAAUGACAGUACCUGGAGAAUAAGCUCCGGCUAACUCCGUG
rnacentral:rRNA from 1 species